rnacentral:rRNA from 1 species
AUUGAACGCUGGCGGCAGGCCUAACACAUGCAAGUCGAACGAGUGGCGGACGGGUGAGUAAUGUCUGGGAAACUGCCUGAUGGAGGGGGAUAACUACUGGAAACGGUAGCUAAUACCGCAUACCAUCGGAUGUGCCCAGAUGGGAUUAGCUAGUAGGUGGGGGAAAGGCUCACCUAGGCGACGAGCCCUAGCUGGUCUGAGCGGAUGAACAGCCACACGGGAACGGAGACACGGUCCAGACUCCUACGGGAGGCAGCAUUGGGGAAUAUUGCACAAUGGGCGCAAGCCUGAGGCAGCCAGGCCGCGUGUAUGAAGAAGGCCUUCGGGUUGUAAAGUACUUUCAGCGGGGAGGCGUUACCCGCAGAAGAAGCACCGGCUAACUCCGUGCCAGCAGCCGCGGUAAUUC